rnacentral:rRNA from 1 species
GUGGGGAAUAUUGGGCAAUGGGCGAAAGCCUGACCCAGCAACGCCGCGUGAGGGAAGAAGGCCUUCGGGUUGUAAACCUCUGUCCUUGGUGACGAAAAAAAUGACGGUAGCCAAGGAGGAAGCCCCGGCUAACUACGUGCCAGCAGCCGCGGUAAUACGUAGGGGGCGAGCGUUGUACGGAAUUACUGGGCGUAAAGGGUGCGUAGGUGGCCUUUUAAGUUGGAUGUGAAAUACCCGGGCUUAACUUGGGGGGUGCAUCUAAUACUGGAGGGCUAGAGUGCAGGAGAGGGAAGCGGAAGUCCUAGUGUAGCGGUGAAAUGCGUAGAUAUUAGAAGGAACACCGGUGGCGAAGGCGAUUUGCUGGGCCAUUACUGACGCUGAGACACGAAAGCGUGGGGAGCGAAUAGGAUUAGAUACCCUUGUAGUCC